rnacentral:misc_RNA from 1 species
GAUGAAGAACGCAGCGAAAUGCGAUACUUGGUGUGAAUUGCAGAAUCCCGUGAACCAUCGAGUCUUUGAACGCAAGUUGCGCCCGAAGCCAUUAGGCCGAGGGCACGCCUGCCUGGGCGUCACACGUCGUUGCCCCCCCAUCUACUCCUUCGGGAUUGCGGGGGGCGGAUGAUGACCUCCCGUGCGCCUCGUCGCGCGGUUGGCAUAAAUGCCAAGUCCUCGGCGACGCACGCCACGACAAUCGGUGGUUGCGAAACCUCGGUUGCCCAUCGUGUGCGGUCGUCGCGCAUCGAGGGCUCGAAAAAAUUGCCGGGCUCCGGCUCGGCUUUCAACGCGACCCCAGGUCAGGCGGGGUUACCCGCUGAAUUUAAGCAUAUCAAUAAGCGGAGGA